rnacentral:rRNA from 1 species
GUGUCAGCAGCCGCGGUAAUACGGAGGAUGCGAGCGUUAUCCGGAUUCAUUGGGUUUAAAGGGUGCGUAGGCGGACUGGUAAGUCAGUGGUGAAAACCUGCAGCUUAACUGUAGAAUUGCCAUUGAUACUGUCGGUCUUGAGUUCGGUUAAGGUAGGCGGAAUGUGUAAUGUAGCGGUGAAAUGCUUAGAUAUUACACAGAACACCGAUUGCGAAGGCAGCUUGCUGGACCGAUACUGACGCUGAUGCACGAAAGCGUGGGGAGCGAACAGGAUUAGAAACCCCGGUAGUCC